AGAUCUGGUGAGACAGCAUGGGAAGAAAUAACACAUGGGCUUUUGUGCAGCUGGAUAUAAUGAAGGUAAAUUGGGUGGAAUUCAAAGAUUUGCCAGAAAAAAGAGAGAUGAUUUCACUCUAAAAUCAUUUUGCAAGAUAAUAUUUUACAAGGAACCUUUUGGACAUGCAUUAUAAGCGGUUACAUUCCCAUUGUCCUAAAAAACUCCCUGCAUAGUUGUACUCUAUUUUUAUCAAGCCAUGCUCUGACGCCUCCUGCCUGGUUGGCGAUAAUCCCUAAUGCAAAGGGAUCGUGUGAAGGUAACCAACCCCUGCCUACAUUUUACUCUGGAUUCCAAGAGUAGACUGGGCUUCAGGGACCAGAUGCCAGGGCUGGCACAUCUGCCUAAAACCCAUAAUUCUUGAACUUGACGUGCUCAGCCUCUCCAAAGCCGCGGCGCUGACACAGCUCCCCCUGCACGAGUGUACAGCAGUCAGACAGGAACGGGGAGAGGGGGCUCAACUUUCUGACGGCCACUUAGAGGCUGCCUGACCACAAAGACAGGACUGUAAAACAUAGACCGCAUGUGACCUGCUGGUGCUCGGCACUGACCCAGGGGAGGAGGGCCACUUGGGCUGGAAUGCAGUUGCUGGGGGCUCAUGAGGGGCUCAGUGGUGCCCCUGGCCACCGAGUCAAGCAGCGUAGAUUGAUCAGAGGAGCUGAGAGCUGAGGCCCACCCUCCCCUUUCUCCUACACAUGGACACCUCUGAGUGGAAUAAGGGAAGACUGUCCUUUCUCCAAGCUUGAAGGAAGAUGACUGUGACUCUUUUCCUGGACUUCAAGGCAUCGAAGUGUCAGCUGGCUGCCAUCCCAGCGUCUGACAGGGCAGCAGGAGAAAGAGGCCACCUGUAUCAUCCACCCGUGCUGCAGCUGAAUGGGAUCGGUGCAGCAUGAUAGAGGCCAGCUGCCCCGCACCAGGUCUGCGUGUCACAGGGCAGAGUGCAUGGUCUCCCUUCACGUGCGGGGCCAGGUGACUGCACAGAGUGAUGAGCUGGGCCCACUUUCCUGCUAUUGGCCGCCAGCAAAGAAUACAAGGGGUUUCCCUUCCCUUCCCUUCCCUUCCCUUCCCUUCCCUUCCCUAUCGACAGCCUUGCAGGGUGGUGGUUUCCUUUGCCCGGAGAGUUCAGAGGCCUUAGUUCUGGAAAGCCUCCUGUGGGGAGAUGGAGUGGCGGGGAUAGGGACCAGAGCAGAGAGGGCAGCAGCAUAAACAAAGAGGAGAGGCAAACUGUUUGAGCCCAGGAGUUUGAGACCAGCCUGGGCAACAUGGUGAAACCCUGUCUCUAUAAAAAAUAUAAAACUUAGCUGGGUGUGGUGGCACAUGCCUAUGGUCCCAGGUAUCUGGAGCAUGGGGUGGUGGUGGGGUGGUGGGAGGAUCAUCUGAGCCUGGGGAGGUCGAGGCCACAGUAAGCUAGGAUUGUAUCACUGCACUCCAGCCUUGGCAACAGAGAGAGAUCUUAUCUCAGAACAAAACAAAAAAAUUGGAGAAGGGAUUUCUCUGAUUUCUCCCUUUGGGAAGGGAGGCUUGGAGGCUGCCUGGGGCUGAGCAGGGAGCACCAUGCUUGUAGGCCUUUGGGGAGGUUUCGAGGUCCAAGUGUGACUUAGAGGAACUGGGAGAUGCCAGCAGACACUGAGACCCAAAGGGGCCUGGCUUGGGACCUAUGCAGCUGUGGGAGGGGAAAGGCCCUCCCCGCUACCAGAUGCAGACUCUGGUGCCCUGAAGCCUGGCGUCUGAGCCAGAUCUGACUUUGUGUAGAAGCAUAAAAGGAGUAGGAUGUUUGUGAUGGCUGAGCGUCAUGGAGGAAUUCAUACCUGUUCCUGGAGCAAUCUAUUUUUAACCUUGUUAACCUGAACUGUACUUUAAGAUUGAAACUAAAUGCAGCCUCUUUUCUACCCAUGAUUUAUUAGACCUCCCCUUUCUAUCAAAUUAAAGCUCUGCACAAACGAAACAAUUCAUCCUCAUCUAAUUUAUAACCAUCCUCCCACACUAGGAAUAUGGAGCCAGGAAUGAGGGAGGUUCACGUGGGAGGUGGCAACUGCAGAACAGACAGCUCUUUGGAUUUCUUUAAAUUGCCAUUUAAUUCCAUCCAUCAACCCAUUUUUCUGCUGUAUACAUAGAAAAGGACAACAGCCACUCCCUCAACCAAAUAUCCCUACAUUCAGUUAAAAGCUACUCUGUACCCCAGGACAUGGGAGCAGCUCCUAUCCUUCCCAGGUGAAAAAGUGGGCUUUUUUUCCCCCUUAAGGCUAAAUAGGAUUUCUUUUCUGUUAGCUAUGGGUAGGUGACUUCUUAAUGAUCUUUAAGGAAAGAAGUCAAUACAAGGAAAAUAUCCUUUUUUAAUCCCAUUUUCCUUCUCACCCCACACUGAGCGUUACUAUAGCAACAUCUUUCCUGCUACUAGGACAGUUAAGUCCCCCUGUGAAGUUAACCGAAAGCUGCUUUUUCACUCAGAGAAUGGGCUGCUGUUCAUUGACCAGCUUUUCCUGCGUGUCUAAAUUCUUCGGUUCUCUCUGACAUGCUCAAUCUAGGGUUUCCCGCGGCUAAACCCUAAAAUUCACUUCGAAACUCCUAACAGCAGAAUUCCCCAAACCUUUUCAGAACUGAACUCAUUAGAAAUGAAUUUACAUUUUGAUUUAGUUAUAAAUAACUUUUCUUCUGUGUAUUGGUUUAAGUUUAGAAAAGGCCCCCUGUAAAGAAGACAAGUUGGAGAAUAAUCUCCCAUAUUCCUCUGCCAUCCUUUCUUUCCUUCCUUUCCUUGAGAUGGAGUCUCUCUCUGUCGCCCAGGCUGGAGUGCAGUGGAGUGAUCUCAGCUCACUGCAACCUCCGCCUCCCGGGUUCAAGCGAUGCUCCUGCCUCAGCCUCCCGAGUAGCUGGGACUACAGGCAUGCACCACCAUGCCUGGCUAAUUUUUUGUAUUUUUAGUAGACACAGCGUUUCACCGUGUAAGCUAGGAUGGUCUCGAUCUCCUGACCUCAUGAUCAGCCCGCCUCGGCCUCCCAAUGUGCUGGGAUUACAGGUAUGAGCCACCGUGGCUGGCCUCCUUUUUCUUUUAAACACAUACAUACAUAUAUGUAAAAACAAAAGAAAAUUUCAGGACCUUCCAAAUUUCACAGGCCUAGAGGAAAGUUAAGCCCUGGAAAUGGAGUUGUGAGAGCAGGCUGUUUUUUCUCUCUGGUGCGUGACCACUGCUUCCUGAUUUUUGUGUUGAGAUCUUAGACCUUAACCAGACUUAUAGCCUUCAUUCAAACCAGACUGAAUGAUGUGGGAGGUAGGGACCUUGGUCAUUGUUAUCUCUUUAUAAUAAAAUGCUAAGCAACCCCCUUAGAGUGAAGUCAACAGUAGCCAAUCAAAUCUUACAUCUGUGUGUUAGCCGUUGUAUGGAAAACACCGUGAUUCUGUUCAGCGCCUCCCUUUUGCCUCCAUAAAAGAUCUUCACUUUUCCCCACACCGUAAUAUUUCACUGGAUUCUUGGAAUAUCAGAAAUUCAUCAUUCUUUGGUGUCUGCGUAUCUCUGAAUGGCCACUCCCAUGCAGCCCUUGAAUGAAUUACUUAACUGGAUCCUAAGCAUUUUGAUUAUUUUAGAUGGACAUAUACACAUGCAUAUACACGUAUGUGUACAUACACAUAUGUAAUGAAAUUGUUCCAAAACACAGAAAAUACAAAGACUAAUGUAAUCAGGACUCACAUAUCCACAUCUUAGAUUUAAUGCUGAUUUCGGGGGGCAUUUUUGCUUCAAAUUUGUAAAAAGCAAAGGUUACAGACAUAAAGAUCUUGCGAUUCUCUUAUCCCAGUUUCUUCCGUCUUUCUUCUCUUCUUUCUCUUUCUCUGUCCCCCGAGGUAGCAUCUAUGCUGACGUUCCCGUAUAUCUUUUCCAUCCAAAUAUUUGCAUUUUUGCUACACAUUACGUGCAAGGCUUUUAUCUGCUUCCUCCUAAUUUGUGGGGGCAAGAGGCUAGACAUCUCUGGCUGGAAAGGCACUCCCUGCAGAUCUGGGAAGCCAUGAGCCACAGGAGCAUUAGCUGUUCCUCUACCCUUUCGUUUCUUUGCUGGACAAUCCUUAUAAGCUGGAGUCCAAGUUAACCUUCCCAAAUGAGUGGCACUAUUAUUUUAAAAUAAAAGCGUUCAAGGUAGAGGAUGACUUUGGGACUCUGGCAACACAGGAAGCCCAGUGUGUUCUCCCCAAGGUCACAUUAAAAAGGUGGUGCAUCUGAGAUGGUGACUGCUCAGAAUAAAGUGAUAAGGGGACAAAAGGUGGAUGGCUUACUUACAGGUGUUAUGAAUGAGACCAUCAGGGCUCGGGUAAGAACAUUGUCUGGGAUAAAUGGUUUGUGGUUAUUGAUCUGGACCAACCUGAUAGAAAAGAAGCUGUGUGUAUUAUUAUUACAAUUUCUUGGUUUAUGCUUGCAAUUUAUAAUUUGUAUGCUCAGUCAAUUCUGCCAAUAUAAAAUAGUAAUGCCCCGGUUUCAAAAUCUGAUAUUGGAUUUUGUCCCACGAUUUAGCAUGUCCUCUAAGCAAAAUAACUGUCCAACCAGAUCACUUGCCUUCAACAACUUAAAACACAAGUAACUAGGGAGAAAAACAAACAAAGAAACAUAAACUCAAAGAAGGUUUCAAGAUUGACAUAGAGAAAAAUCUUUUCUCAUCUAUCCGUAUGUACUCUCCCACUGCUCAUCGUGGGCCCCAGGGAAAGGCGAUUUUAUUCAAAGAAGGUAACUCUGAACGUACUCAGGGCCGUAAUAUGUGAAAUGUCUCCCAGUGUUUGACAAAAAGACUCUCUUUUCAUGUUCAUAUUCCAUGGAAAUCUUAAGUCAAAGCAACAAUAAAAUAAGCUGACCCAUAAGUGCACGUGUUGAAGAGGCUCAGCCAAGAAAAACUGUUUGGUAGUUGCUGAAAACUGGCAUCUAGACCUCAAAGAGGAAAUCAGAACCAAAGUGCAGACUUGUCCCACCAGAGAUGGUGGGUGUUGGACUGAGUCAGCGACAGUGAGGCACUGACUAGACUUCCGUAACCAGCCAUACUUUCUAGUUUAUAAUGACAUUCAUGGUUAUUGUUCUACACAGACAGGUGUAGGGAAGCAAUGGGAAAGUGCAGGAAAACAGAAGCAUUGGGAAUGGAACAUCUUUGGUUUCUCCAUUUCAAUGCACUGCCAUGACCCCCACACCCACCCACGAGACUUUAGCUGUUCCAGAGCCAACGGUGCCUGCCUCUUUGCUGAUCCAUUACUCAUUCUCCCUACAGCUGCCUCAUAGCUUUGGCUCCCAAGAGGUAAGGUACAGGUAGUCUGGCUGCCUGCAUUAUCCUCCAGCCUCAAAAUACAUGGGGAACUGAAAAUAAACAAACUGUUGAUUCCUUGAGCUUAAGAAGGCCUCUUGGUGUUCCUUUAUACCUUUUCGAGUCUCUCCUAAGAUCAGAGAGAGGAGUGAAGAGGGGGAAGGUGUAUGGCCAAAGGAGGACUUGCCCUGAUUGCCACUGGCAAAGACGCUGAGCCUUAGGGACCAUCCAGAGGCAUGCAGGACCCCUGCUGCAGCAUUCUUGAAAAAUGAUGUCUUCCUACGCCUCCCUGACUCAACCAGAAGCUCACAGGUCCCAGCACCGCAGAAAAUCAUCUUGAACACCUCCCAAGGCCAAUCUCCCAUUGCAACAAAUGAACUAUUAAAAACAGGGGUCUCUUUUAUCCUACCGUCAUCUCAUUUCCAGAUAAAACACCUCCAGUUUCUUCAAUGACUUCCACGAGAAGACCUCUCUGGAGAGGUCUGAACAUUGUCUUCUGUCAGCUCCCUCUUGAUUUUGGGACCAAGCAUUGAAUAUAAAGUUAGGAUGUGGCCUGAUUAGCAUAGGCAGAGUACUGAGAAGCCUUCCUUGUGCCUGUCACUACACUUCCAUCAACAGACUCCAUCAACAGGAGGCAACGCAGCCUCAGGAUACCACCUGCCCACGGCCCACCUGAGGGAACCUGCUGCCCACAGCCUCUGCUCCCAGAGGGACCUACCCAGUCCCAAAGCUGAGGCACCACCCAUCCUUGAAUGGCCAGAGUAACCUGUCUCAAGAAUAUGAGCAAGAUGAUUCCAAGAGAAAGUGGCAGUCAACAGUGGUUUUGUACAAUGCGGAUAAAUAUUAGAAAGGCCAUCCAGGAUGCGUCAUUUGCAAGCUUGGGUGGACAGGCAGCUGCCAACAGUGACAGCAGGUGGCCCAUGAGUGAAACUUAGAGAAUUAGGGGACUGCUUUGGUCUUGGCAGAUUUCCUGGCCAGUCCAUGGAACCCUCAAAAUAGGUCCCUUAAUUUUGUAGAAAAAUGGUGUCACCUUUAAACGUUGUAAACUACAUUUAUAAAUUUAAGACAUUCUUUUUUUUCUUUUUUCUUUUCUUUUCUUUUACUUUUUUCUUUUCUUUUCUUUUCUUUUUUUGGGAUGGAGUCUCACUCUGUUGCCCAGACUGGAGUGCAGUGGCAUGAUCUUGGCUCACUGCACCCUCCCCCUCCCGGGUUCAAGCGAUUCUCCUUCCUCAGCCUCCUGAGUAGCUGGGAUUACAGGCGCACCACCACACCCAGCUAAUUUUUGUAUUUUUAGUAGAGAUGGUCUUUCACCGUAUUGGCUAGGCUGGUGUCGAAGUCCUGAUCUCAAGUGAUCCCACCUCGGCCUCCCAAAAUGCUGAGAUUACAGGCAUGAGCCACUGCGCCCGGCCUUAACACACUCUUAAGUACUUCCAAAGUCUGAUUUAAAAAAUAGUUUUGUUUUUCCUGAGGACUUAAAUAACUUAUAAAUAAAUCAAAGCAAUAGAUAUAGUGCGCCUUAAGUUCUCUGAAAGGCUUUGAUACUGUUUACAAACUUUGUCAGAGUUCAAUUUAAUAUCCCUAGCCUCAGUCAAUUACUCAAUUGUGUUUCAAGCUAAGUCACAAGGCUGAGCUGUUUCACUAAUUAACCACAUUCCUUUAGAAGUUCAAGUAUGUAUAAAUUCCUUAAUACAAAA